ACCCCGACGCCCACCCCACUCCCAGCUUCCCUAACCUCCCCACGACUACCUCUUUGCUGUCGCCCGAGCCUCUCCCACCAGCGCGCCGCCGCCGCUGCCCGAGGCCCCUCCGACCAGCGCGCCGUCGCCGCCCGGGGCUCCUUCCCACCAGUGCGUCACCGCCGCCCCUAAGCCCCUCCGACCAACGCGCCGCCACCGUCCUGAUCCCCCUACGACCAACGCGCCACCGCUGCCCCGAUCCCCCUCCGACCAGCACGCCGCCGCCGGCGCCAAGCCCCUCACACCAGCGCGUCGCCGCCGCCCCGAUCCCCCUCCCACCAGUGCACCACGGCCGCCCCAAACCCCCUUCCAUGACCAUAUCACCCGCACCAUCGGCCGCGCCUCCCUCCUGCAUGCCACCUGCGGCUUCCACGCCAUGGAAGGUACUGAGCCAUUGCGGUAGUACAACUGCAUGCUCCACCGCCGGUCAUGAGAAGAGCUGCGUGCAGGCCACCCGUGGUCUUUCCUGGAUCCGACUCAGUCGUGUCCCUCUCAUCCUCUCUCUGUUUGUGUGCGUAUGAAGGAAGUAGGAGGAGAUAAAACAAGGGAGUGAGAGAUCCCCAUUGUCAUGUAUGUGAGAUGUGGGUGUGUGAUUUCCCAAUGUCAAAUCCCAUGUUUGUGUUGAUUAGUUGUAGUUUCAUGGAUCUGGUUCUUAUGCAAUGUAAAUCCGUGCAUAGUUCACUCAUUGUUUCUCUAAAACUAUGAGCCGAUGAUAGAUUAGAGAUGAGUUGACGGUGUGGGUUCCGGUAGUGAGAUUUGCAGCUAGUUUGUUUACUUGUUUAUGUGGUUGCAAGGGAAUUCUAUUUGAUUACAGUUAGGCCACCAGUUAGUAUUGUGGUAUUCUGUUGCAACAAAAAUGGGUCGCCGGUUCAGUUAUAGGCACCCAACUCUGAAGAUUUUGAAAUUUUGCAUGGUAUUUUAAGUUUGGUUUCUAUCAUAUAAUGUAAAGUUGUAAACAUGUUUCCAAUGGUCUUUGCUCCCAGUUCUGAACUUCUUAUUCAGUCUAUUAGUACAGUCGUAGUGGUGGCCACCCCGACGCCUAGCCCGCCAACACGCAUCGCGCGCUGCCCCAGGGCCCCCGAGCACUGCCGCGCCCCGUCGCCGGUGCCUGACGGUGCGGGCCACCAUCGCUGCCCGACGAAUGGGGAGUCUGAUCAUUUGCUGGUCAAAAUCUGACAACAAUCGGAGGAGGAAUGCGCAACAAGCAAGUCUAUCAUCGAUGGCAAGUUAUAGCUAGCAACAGGCCCAUCUGCGUGGUAUGCAAACAGGAGUACUGAUGGACAUAUGAGGGAUCAUUGUUUCUUAUUGGAGAAGGCCUGGUGUUUAGUUGGUGUCUGUGUGGUACCUACACGGCUACACCAGCAUUUUCCAUCAACACCUCCAGAAAAAGAGAUAAUCUCCAGGAAUUACCUUUUUUAACUUUGGCAUCCCCCGACGCAUCGCGCCCCUAGAGAGGCCACGUGUUGGAUCCAGUAGGGCAACGCUGUUGACACCGACACCAUAGUCCUCCGGUGUCACCCUCCCCGUCCAUGUCCAGGUAUAGGACAAACACUAGUCCAGCUCUUCCUCGUUUCUCCGUCCAAGCUCCGCGUGCCAUGCUUGAUGGUCAUUUCAUCACUAUAAAACAUAAUUUCUUUCAGUUCUGAACGUGGACAGUUCUAGGAACAUUGUUGUGCAGACCAAAAGUGUGUCAUGGAUGUUCUCUUCACAAAUUUUGUGUUUUGGAGUAAGUUAAUUUCGAUUGUUGACACAGUAGCUUCUAGUUUUUUGCAAUGGAUUUGGAGAUAUGAAAAAUGAUUGAUUUUGAACAGUACUUUGCUGUGUGAUAUUUUUGAAACCAGGAUGACCUCGUCCUUCGUCUGCUUCUCUUUUCCAGCCGCAUCCAGGACGACCGGGACUCGCUGCCACUAGCUGUUGGUGCACCUUCUGUUAGCUCCCAGCUGUUACCUAGUGUGCUUGAUGCUACUGCUACAAAGAAGGUUGAAGGAGAUCCCUUCACUUCAAUGGAUUCAACAAAAAUAAUCCCUGCUGCCACUGCAUAAUUUGUGUAGGGGGCUUCUAUAGUGAUGGCAUCCCGAGUUCGACAAACUUUUAAAAAAUCGUGUUCGGAAUCAAAUGUGACCGUAUUCAAAUUUGUUUUUAGAACGUAAGGAAUUAGAAAAACAUUUCAAUAUGAAAAUGUUGCGCAUUUUCCAUAGCUUUCCAACGC